rnacentral:rRNA from 1 species
UAGGGAAUCUUCCGCAAUGGACGCAAGUCUGACGGAGCAACGCCGCGUGAGUGAAGAAGGAUUUCGGUUCGUAAAACUCUGUUGUUAGAGAAGAACAGCGCAUAGAGUAACUGUUAUGCGUGUGACGGUAUCUAACCAGAAAGCCACGGCUAACUACGUGCCAGCAGCCGCGGUAAUACGUAGGUGGCAAGCGUUGUCCGGAUUUAUUGGGCGUAAAGCGAGCGCAGGCGGUCAAUUAAGUCUGAUGUGAAAGCCCCCGGCUCAACCGGGGAGGGUCAUUGGAAACUGGUUGACUUGAGGGCAGAAGAGGAGAGUGGAAUUCCAUGUGUAGCGGUGAAAUGCGUAGAUAUAUGGAGGAACACCGGUGGCGAAGGCGACUCUCUGGUCUGUAACUGCCGCUGAGGUUCGAAAGCGUGGGUAGCAAACAGG